rnacentral:rRNA from 1 species
ACUGGCUCAGGACGAACGCUGGCGGCGUGCCUAAUACAUGCAAGUCGUACGCUUCUUUUUCCACCGGAGCUUGCUCCACCGGAAAAAGAAGAGUGGCGAACGGGUGAGUAACACGUGGGUAACCUCCCAUCAGAAGGGGAUAACACUUGGAAACAGGUGCUAAUACCGUAUAACAAUCGAAACCGCAUGGUUUUGAUUUGAAAGGCGCUUUCGGGUGUCGCUGAUGGAUGGACCCGCGGUGCAUUAGCUAGUUGGUGAGGUAACGGCUCACCAAGGCACGAUGCAUAGCCGACCUGAGAGGGUGAUCGGCCACAUUGGGACUGAGACACGGCCCAAACUCCUACGGGAGGCAGCAGUAGGGAAUCUUCGGCAAUGGACGAAAGUCUGACCGAGCAACGCCGCGUGAGUGAAGAAGGUUUUCGGAUCGUAAAACUCUGUUGUUAGAGAAGAACAAGGAUGAGAGUAACUGUUCAUCCCUGACCGUUACAAGC